UCGCGUGACCUUCGAUUAAGCGAAGUGAUUUAUUUAAGUAAAAAUUAUAUAAAUUAACAUAUCUUUAAAUUAACCAAGUGUUUGUAUUGUUUUCUUGGAGAGUUAAAUUUAAAAAUAUAUUGGAGUAUUUUUAGUUUGCCUUUGUUGAAACUAGGUUGUGUUUGUAUUUCUACUUGAGUCAAGUAGAUAUGAUUAAAAUGAUAAAGUUUUUAUGGUGUGGUUAUUUAGAUUAAAUAGCUUCAUUGUUGAGUAAACUUGAUUGCCAAAGAAACUGGAUUAAGUUUUUAAUUCUACUUGAUCAACUGCUUUUAUCAACUGCUUUUAAUGCAAAAAAAUUCAUUUGGAUUUGAGAUAAGGGAACAACAUUUUCAGAGUUUUUCUUCUUUAACUCUUUUAUUAAGGAAUUACUAUAGUUAAAAAGGCUGAAAGGAAAAAAUAUGAUGAUUUUUUUCAAGAAAGUCACAAAAUAAUAAAUAAAGAUGAUAUUGAUUAUGAUGACCAAGAGAUUCAUUUUAAGACACAUCAAUCUUCAUCAUCUUAAAAUAAAAAGGAUAAAUAUGAUAGAUUUCCAUUAUUUCAAUCAAGUAAGUCUUUAGUUCAAAAUAAUAAUGUAAUGUUUGUUGUAAAAUGCUAACAUGACUGUCAAUAUUAAAAGAUUUCAUUGAAAAGAUGAGGUUCCAAUUUUAACUUUAAAUAAUCACCUGCAUGAAAUCCAUUAUUUCAAUAUUAUCAAAAUUAUAAAUCUAUGGAACAAUCUUUCUUCUCACCCUAAAUCUGAGAAAAACUGUAAUAUAUACUAAAAUAUUUAUUGUGCCUAUACCAAAAAUUAGCAUUGCCACAAUCAAGUAUUUACUUCUAUUAGUUUUUCUCUGAUUUAGGGUUAGACCAGUAAAGUUAUUAAAUUAUUAAAUUUAUGUAUUUUAAAUUUAUUUAUAUACAUAGUUUUGUCAAUACUAUGUAAAAUUUAAUUAUUGCAAGUUUGUUUAGACUUUUAAUAUUGUGUGUUGCGUCUCCUAAAUGAGAUAAAAACCCAAGGAUCCAAAAAACCUAAUAUAAAAUAAAGUGAGCAAGAAGUAGUAAUUGAAAUGAACAGCCUAAUAGAAUUUGAUAAGUUUGACUCAGCACUUGAUAAUAUUUCAUCUAGGAACUCUGCAGUUGUAAAUUGCUAAAUACCGAUUUGACAAAUUUUUUCUUUUUAUAAAAUUUUCUUUAAAAUAUAUAAUUUUUACUACUUAAUUAGGAAUUGUCAGUUUUUCCAUAAUUUCUUUCUAUUAGAAACAAAGAGUUCAAAAUAUUGGUGGAAAGAAUUGUCAAAAACUUGUGAUAGCUAUGAUGAAGAGUUUAAUGACAAAUUCAUUCAUGAUCAACUAGUCUAACCAAGCUAUACAACUUAAUAAAAGUUUGUGCAUCGACUGCUCACUAAUCAUAAACAGAGUCUAUUGUCGAAUCAAUUAUUACUGAUUCGUUAAAGAUGGCAACUUCUAAAUGUGUUAAAGUACCUUAAAUCCAACAGAUAUCAUCGCUACGAUAUUAAUUUGUUUGUAAAUUGUUUUAGAAAAUAAAUUUAAAAAUAACUUUUAAAUAAA